UGGGGAAUAUUGGACAAUGGGGGGAACCCUGAUCCAGCCAUGCCGCGUGUGUGAAGAAGGCCUUAUGGUUGUAAAGCACAUUAAGCGAGGAGGAGGGUACUGGUAUUAAUACUACCAGGUACUGGACGUUACUCGCAGAAUAAGCACCGGCUAACUCUGUGCCAGCAGCCGCGGUAAUACAGAGGGUGCGAGCGUUAAUCGGAUUUACUGGGCGUAAAGCGUGCGUAGGCGGCUAAUUGAGUCGGAUGUGAAAUCCCCGAGCUUAACUUGGGAAUUGCAUUCGAUACUGGUUAGCUAGAGUGUGGGAGAGGAUGGUAGAAUUCCAGGUGUAGCGGUGAAAUGCGUAGAGAUCUGGAGGAAUACCGAUGGCGAAGGCAGCCAUCUGGCCUAACACUGACGCUGAGGUACGAAAGCAUGGGGAGCAAACAGG
rnacentral:rRNA from 1 species